UGCUAAUACAUGCAAGUCGAGCGAACAGAUAAGGAGCUUGCUCCUUUGAAGUUAGCGGCGGACGGGUGAGUAACACGUGGGUAACCUACCUAUAAGACUGGGAUAACUUCGGGAAACCGGAGCUAAUACCGGAUAACAUUUAGAACCGCAUGGUUCUAAAGUGAAAGAUGGUUUUGCUAUCACUUAUAGAUGGACCCGCGCCGUAUUAGCUAGUUGGUAAGGUAACGGCUUACCAAGGCGACGAUACGUAGCCGACCUGAGAGGGUGAUCGGCCACACUGGAACUGAGACACGGUCCAGACUCCUACGGGAGGCAGCAGUAGGGAAUCUUCCGCAAUGGGCGAAAGCCUGACGGAGCAACGCCGCGUGAGUGAUGAAGGGUUUCGGCUCGUAAAACUCUGUUAUUAGGGAAGAACAAAUGUGUAAGUAACUGUGCACAUCUUGACGGUACCUAAUCAGAAAGCCACGGCUAACUACGUGCCAGCAGCCGCGGUAAUACGUAGGUGGCAAGCGUUAUCCGGAAUUAUUGGGCGUAAAGCGCGCGUAGGCGGUUUCUUAAGUCUGAUGUGAAAGCCCACGGCUCAACCGUGGAGGGUCAUUGGAAACUGGGAAACUUGAGUGCAGAAGAGGAAAGUGGAAUUCCAUGUGUAGCGGUGAAAUGCGCAGAGAUAUGGAGGAACACCAGUGGCGAAGGCGACUUUCUGGUCUGUAACUGACGCUGAUGUGCGAAAGCGUGGGGAUCAAACAGGAUUAGAUACCCUGGUAGUCCACGCCGUAAACGAUGAGUGCUAAGUGUUAGGGGGUUUCCGCCCCUUAGUGCUGCAGCUAACGCAUUAAGCACUCCGCCUGGGGAGUACGACCGCAAGGUUGAAACUCAAAGGAAUUGACGGGGACCCGCACAAGCGGUGGAGCAUGUGGUUUAAUUCGAAGCAACGCGAAGAACCUUACCAAAUCUUGACAUCCUUUGAAAACUCUAGAGAUAGAGCCUUCCCCUUCGGGGGACAAAGUGACAGGUGGUGCAUGGUUGUCGUCAGCUCGUGUCGUGAGAUGUUGGGUUAAGUCCCGCAACGAGCGCAACCCUUAAGCUUAGUUGCCAUCAUUAAGUUGGGCACUCUAGGUUGACUGCCGGUGACAACCGGAGGAAGGUGGGGAUGACGUCAAAUCAUCAUGCCCCUUAUGAUUUGGGCUACACACGUGCUACAAUGGACAAUACAAAGGGCAGCUAAACCGCGAGGUCAUGCAAAUCCCAUAAAGUUGUUCUCAGUUCGGAUUGUAGUCUGCAACUCGACUACAUGAAGCUGGAAUCGCUAGUAAUCGUAGAUCAGCAUGCUACGGUGAAUACGUUCCCGGGUCUUGUACACACCGCCCGUCACACCACGAGAGUUUGUAACACCCGAAGCCGGUGGAGUAACCAUUUAUGGAGCUAGCCGUCGAAGGUGGACAAAA
rnacentral:rRNA from 1 species